CAAAAAGCAAAUCAGACAAUUGCGUCAAAUUGAUCAUCUAUCAGAUUCCAAAGGCCUCCUGGAGCUUUGCCAUCAUCUAUGCUAGGAUAUGAGGCUCUCACUGGUGGUUUAGAUGAUUUUGCUUUUGAAGAUUUUCUCAAUUUGCCACAAGAUUCAGAAACUUUAGACCACUCGACAUGCACCACGGAAUGGAAGUUCACAGAUGGAAGUUCGCAUUGGCAUAUCGAAAGGACCUGUCGUCCGAGUGUCAUCUAAUUUAAUGUCUCAGCAUGCUCUGUUAUGCGCAUUCGCAAUGUUUGUUUUGUGGAUCAUUUCAAAUUUCAACUUCAUACUGUGAACUAUUUUUUCCUCCUCUAUUAAUGAAUGAUAAAAACGUCCAAUAUACUCAGCGAUCAAUUUGAACAUGAAACACUGGUGCAGAAAGAGCUAAGACGCUGGAAUACCAUUUGUAUUUUCUCCAUAUUUCUUA